UACGUAGGUGGCAAGCGUUAUCCGGAAUUAUUGGGCGUAAAGAGCGCGCAGGUGGUUGAUUAAGUCUGAUGUGAAAGCCCACGGCUUAACCGUGGAGGGUCAUUGGAAACUGGUCGACUUGAGUGCAGGAGAGGAGAGUGGAAUUCCUAGUGUAGCGGUGAAAUGCGUAGAUAUUAGGAGGAACACCAGUUGCGAAGGCGGCUCUCUGGACUGUAACUGACACUGAGGCACGAAAGCGUGGGGAGCAAACAGGAUUAGAUA
rnacentral:rRNA from 1 species